ensembl:snoRNA U3 Small nucleolar RNA U3
UAGACUUAUUUUGUCAGGGAUCAUUUCUGUAGCUCAUGGCUAAAGAGUUUUUCUACAUUGCAGGGCUCUAAAAAACCCUGAGCAUGAAGCUGGCUCUUUGGGGCUUCAUUGCCAUUUGCCACUGAUGUUCAUUUUGUCCUCCUUAGGCAGGCAGAGGUGAGGGGAGAUGAACUCUGA